rnacentral:rRNA from 1 species
UCUGGUAGUUAUGGCGAGAAGGUCACACCCGUUCCCAUCCCGAACACGGUAGUUAAGCUUCUCUGCGCCAAUGGUAGUUGGGGGG